GCCACGUAGCUUUCAUCCACAUUUUAUCAUCACAUCACAAGUUAAAAAAAAUACACACACAGUAUAUGUUCUUGGAUGGGAGCGAUGAACAAAAAAGAAAAGAAAAGAAAAAAGCCAAUGAAAGGCUUCAUUGAAGAUCAUCAGUUGAUAUAAAAGAGAUCAGCCUCUUCGCAUCUCAUUAUCUCCAUUUGUGAUUAAAAAUCCUAGAUAUUCAUUCUUGGUAACUUUCAUUAACGAAGAAGCCGACCCAAACCGGGCCGUCCAACAGAAACAACUACAAGAUUACAUAUUUACAAAAGAGCUCCACUUUCCCCAAACCGAUUGAGAAUUCUAAUUGUAACGAAGAACAAAAACUGCGUCCGAAUCGUACCUGGUAAUGCGAAUUGAGGAAGUCAGUAGGAGCAAAAGGGCUACACUUGUUUGAUAGUUGACAUGCACAGCUUCACCGGUGCCACAGAUUGAGACGUGGGUUUGUUUGCGGUGGGGUUUCUUGGUGGUGGGAAGUGGAGAGGUCUGGCGGUUGUUAAAGUUUCUGGGCAGAGAAAGAUGCGAGAGAGAAACAGCAGAGACGCAGUCGCAGAGAUUAGAGAAGUUAUUUCGGUGUUGAAGAGAAAUAAACCGCCAACGUAUGUUCGGGAUUGAAAUUAGUGUUUUGACUUUUGACAUCUUUUAUCCAUGUAUCGCUCUUCAAAUUUCAAA